UGUUGGAAAUUAAGCUGUAGUGUUUACGGGACUUAAUUAACAAAAUCACUCAUCAUCUCAGGAACUCACUAUCUGGGCCUGACAGCAUUGGAAAUAAAUUAUCCCAGCGCCCAGUGAGGUGAUCCUCAAUCCAGUCUGGGGUCCUCGCUUGCCCCAGACCCCUGGCCCCCGUCUGGAGCCUCCCCUCUACCUCCAGUCCCCAGGAGCCCUUGCAAUUAAUAGCUAAUUAACAAACAAAACAAACCUACCAGGUGGAACAGCCGAAAGACAUUCUCAGCCCACAAAAGCAAGUAAUUAUUUGGUGUGGGCAGGUCUGGAAAAAAUCACUUAAGAGAUAAAUCACUGACUCUCCCCCAUCUUGAGGGGCUGAUAGGAUGAAGGAAGACUCCGUGAGAUCAGGAAGCUGAUUUAAAGGAAAAAUGAAGCCUCGCCCAUUUCCUCCACAGCGAAUCACCAACCAAAACGCUGCAAGCAUCCACUGCAGCCUGGAAAUCAAGUCUCAUCAUGGUCCAAAGUGAGGUCCCCGUGGGUCAGGGGUUCCCCUGAAUGUUCCAGGGCAACUGUGAGGACUGAAUGAGUAACAUAAGCAAACGACUCAGCACAGCCCCCAGCACAACGCCUAGCAUUUAGCAGGAACACAAUCGAUGUUUUAUCUGAAGAAAUGAAAGUCACUUCUACUUAUGUUAAAGUGGACUCCAUUCUCUCUGAAGGGCUCUUGCAGUAUUGCAAAACUCCAGCGAGUCAAGUCCCAAGGUUGCCAGUCCUGGGUCCAGAGCAGGAUCCUGAACAGACAGCAAGUGUCCUUCCCAACCCACGCGAGAGGCACCUCGAGAGCAGCCUUGGGGAGCAGAAAGUGGGUCUCCCGCUCUGCCGCAAGCACCCUAGCCAAGAGCCUGGUAACUUGGUGAGACUCAUGCCACCAAGAGGGCCAAAAGUCCAAGAGAAGGAGGACAAGCCAGGCCUCCGAGGUUCCUGCCAGAGAGCCAGGUGAAGGCCGCCAUGGCCUGGCACUCAUGCCCCCCGACCUGCCAUCUGGCAGAAAAGCAAGGAAUCGCCCCCGGCAGCCUGGCAACAUAAAGAGGUCUGUUCCCUCCCAUUUGAAGGCUCUUGUUCAUAGGACAAGACGUCUAUUAAACUGGCAGCCUCGCCAC